GUGGACUCUCAAGCGUGAGGUAAGGGCAUCUGGUGAAUGCCUUGGCAUGUACAGGCGAUGAAGGACGUGGCACGCUGCGAUAAGCGUGGGGGAGCUGUGAGCAAGCUUUGAUCCCGCGAUUUCCGAAUGGGACAACCCACCUUCACCAUUUAAGGCUGCACCCGAGCGAUCGGGCACAGCGUUAAAUGGGAGAGGUAUCACUAAGCUGAAUAAAAUAGGCUUUGGUGAAGCGAACCCGGAGAACUGAAACAUCUCAGUACCCGGAGGAAAAGACAUCAACCGAGAUUCCGUUAGUAGUGGCGAGCGAACGCGGACCAGGCCAGCGCCUGGUGCUUAAUUAGCAGAACGAUCUGGAAAGUUCGGCCAUAGCGGGUGACAGCCCCGUAUGCGAAAAUGAAGCAUCAGGACUUGAGUAGGGCGGAGCACGUGAAACUCUGUCUGAACAUGGGGGGACCACCCUCCAAGCCUAAAUACUCGUACAUGACCGAUAGCGAACCAGUACCGUGAGGGAAAGGUGAAAAGCACCCCGAUGAGGGGAGUGAAACAGUACCUGAAACCGGAUGCCUACAAGCAGUGGGAGGGUCCUUGAGACCUGACCGCGUACCUCUUGCAUAAUGGGUCUGUGACUUAGUGUAUCGAGCAAGCUUAAGCCGUUAGGUGUAGGCGCAGCGAAAGCGAGUCUGAACAGGGCGUUUGAGUUCGAUGCAUUAGACCCGAAACCCGGCGAUCUAGGCAUGACCAGGCUGAAGGUGCGGUAACACGCACUGGAGGGCCGAACCGUUUAAUGUUGAAAAAUUAUCGGAUGAGUUGUGUUUAGGGGUGAAAGGCCAAUCAAGCCGGGAAAUAGCUGGUUCUCCGCGAAAUCUAUUGAGGUAGAGCGUCGGAUGAUUGCCGUUGGGGGUAGAGCACUGGAUGGUUGCGGGGGUCGCGAGAUCUACCAAUACUAACCAAACUCCGAAUACCAACGAGUCUAGUCCGGCAGACAGACGGCGGGUGCUAAGGUCCGUCGUCAAAAGGGAAACAGCCCUAACCUACAGCUAAGGUCCCCAAGUCACGUCUAAGUGGGAAAGCAUGUGGGAUUUCCAAAACAACCAGGAGGUUGGCUUAGAAGCAGCCAUCCUUUAAAGAAAGCGUAACAGCUCACUGGUCUAAACAAGAGAUCCUGCGGCGAAGAUGUAACGGGGCUCAAGACGUGCACCGAAGCUUAGGGUUCAGUCUUUUGACUGAGCGGUAGCGGAGCGUUCCGUAGGCCGUUGAAGCGGGAGGGUAACCGACCGUGGAGGUAUCGGAAGUGCGAAUGCAGACAUGAGUAGCGAUUAACAGUGUGAGAUGCACUGUCGCCGAAAUUCCAAGGGUUCCUGCUUAAAGCUAAUCUGAGCAGGGUAAGCCGGCCCCUAAGACGAGCCCGAAGGGGGUAGUCGAUGGGAACCACGUUAAUAUUCGUGGGCCUGGUGGUGUGUGACGGAUGGCGUAACUUGUUCGGCCUUAUUGGAUUGGUCCGGGCAGGGAAGUUGUCCCAGGAAAUAGCCCCACCGUAUAGACCGUACCCUAAACCGACACAGGUGGAAUGGUAGAGUAUACCAAGGCGUUUGAGAGAAGUAUCCUGAAGGAACUCGGCAAAUUGCCUCCGUACCUUCGGAAGAAGGAGGCCCCACAUAUGCGCAAGCACUUGUGGGGGGCACAGGCCAGGGGGUAGCGACUGUUUAGCAAAAACACAGGGCUCUGCUAAGUCGGCUUCAAGACGACGUAUAGGGCCUGACGCCUGCCCGGUGCCUGAAGGUUAAGAGGAGGAGUGCAAGCUCUGAAUUGAAGCCCAGGUAAACGGCGGCCGUAACUAUAACGGUCCUAAGGUAGCGAAAUUCCUUGUCGGGUAAGUUCCGACCUGCACGAAUGGCGUAACGACUUCCCCACUGUCUCCAGGAUAUGCUCAGCGAAAUUGAAUUCUCCGUGAAGAUGCGGAGUACCCGCGGUUAGACGGAAAGACCCCGUGCACCUUUACUGCAGCUUCAGAGUGGCAUUAGGAAAGAACUGUGUAGCAUAGGUGGGAGGCUUUGAAGCGAUGACGCCAGUUGUCGUGGAGCCAUAGGUGAAAUACCACCCUGUUGUUUUCUGAUGUCUAACCUCGCACCGUUAUCCGGUGCAGGGACCCUCUGUGGCGGGUAGUUUGACUGGGGCGGUCGCCUCCUAAAGAGUAACGGAGGCGCGCGAUGGUGGGCUCAGGACGGUUGGAAACCGUCUGUUAGAGUGCAAUGGCAUAAGCCCGCCUGACUGCGAGACUGACAAGUCGAGCAGAGACGAAAGUCGGUCAUAGUGAUCCGGUGGUCCCUCGUGGAAGGGCCAUCGCUCAACGGAUAAAAGGUACGCCGGGGAUAACAGGCUGAUGAUUCCCAAGAGCUCAUAUCGACGGAAUCGUUUGGCACCUCGAUGUCGGCUCAUCACAUCCUGGGGCUGGAGCAGGUCCCAAGGGUUUGGCUGUUCGCCAAUUAAAGUGGUACGUGAGCUGGGUUCAGAACGUCGCGAGACAGUUUGGUCCCUAUCUGCCGUGGGCGUCGAAAUUUGAGAGGAGUUGACCCUAGUACGAGAGGACCGGGUUGAACAUGCCUCUGGUGUACCUGUCGUCCUGCCAAGGGCGCAGCAGGGUAGCUAUGCAUGGACGGGAUAACCGCUGAAAGCAUCUAAGCGGGAAGCCUCCCUCAAGAUAAGAUUUCUUCGAGCGGUCGUAGACCACGACCUUGAUAGGCCGGAUGUAGAAGUGUGGUAACAUAUGGAGCUAACCGGUCCUAAUUGCUCUGAUCGCGCCUGA
rnacentral:rRNA from 1 species